rnacentral:rRNA from 1 species
AAUAGAUACCCAGGUAGUCCACGCCGUAAACGAUGGAUGCUAGCCGUCGGGGAGCUUGCUCUUCGGUGGCGCAGCUAACGCAUUAAGCAUCCCGCCUGGGGAGUACGGUCGCAAGAUUAAAACUCAAAGGAAUUGACGGGGGCCCGCACAAGCAGUGGAGCAUGUGGUUUAAUUCGAAGCAACGCGCAGAACCUUACCAGCUCUUGACAUGUCUCGUAUGGGUACCGGAGACGGUAUCCUUCAGUUCGGCUGGCGAGAACACAGGUGCUGCAUGGCUGUCGUCAGCUCGUGUUGUGAGAUGUUGGGUUAAGUCCCGCAACGAGCGCAACCCUCGCCUCUAGUUGCCAUCAUUCAGUUGGGCACUCUAGAGGGACUGCCGGUGAUAAGCCGAGAGGAAGGUGGGAUGACGUCAAGUCCUCAUGGCCCUUACGGGCUGGGCUACACACGUGCUACAAUGGCGGUGACAAUGGGCAGCGAAGGGGCGACCCGGAGCUAAUCUCAAAAAGCCGUCUCGU